GAGAAGUGGUAGACCAAUCUGGGGCUUCUAACCACAGAAAAAGAGGUUCAACUCCUUUUGCUUCUCU
rnacentral:tRNA from 1 species